UCAUGGUCAUGAGUCUGCAGUGGUACAAGUUCGCAAUGAUUGCAGUUGUUCUAGUUGAUAGUUAACGUUGGUAUUAGUUGACUGUUAGUAGUUCAAGUUAACUGUAGUACAAGCUUGUUUAAGUAUGAAUGGACUUGCUUCCCUUGAAAGAAAACUGAGAUUGUUUUCUACAGUACAAAAGUUAUGAGACCCAAAUCAGACAAAUUUUUACUA
rnacentral:lncRNA from 1 species